rnacentral:lncRNA from 1 species
GCUACGCAUGUAGAUGCUGCAAUGAAAUCAGAUAAGAAGGUGAAUCAUUUGCUGGCUUAAAGAGUUACAGUUCUCUUUAAUUCUUUCUUUUGAGAAAGAUGGAGAUGUCUUUUCCUUUUUCGAUGGUAGCUUUAUGUGAAGGACAAAUUUUUCAACUCACUUUCGACCAGUCAACCUGGGCCAUGGAAGCCGAAAAUAUCUGAACAAAGGAAGCUGGAUAUAGAGGUAUCACUUCAUGAUUCUUCCAAUGAUUAUCCAACGUUUGUUGUCUUUCUUGACUUGGUCCUCAGACAUUUGGGUAUUUCCAAGUGCACCAAAGGAGUCACGGUAGCGAAUGUCAAGGCUUGGUGGCAAUCCAGACGUCUUUUCCGACCAAAGAGAAAAUGGUAAUGCAGGCAGAGGCC